CUGGAGAAUGUCUGACGCUCAGGUGCGAAAGCGUGGGGAGCAAACAGGAUUAGAUACCCUGGUAGUCCACGCCGUAAACGAUGUCUACUUGGAGGUUGUGCCCUUGAGGCGUGGCUUCCGGAGCUAACGCGUUAAGUAGACCGCCUGGGGAGUACGGCCGCAAGGUUAAAACUCAAAUGAAUUGACGGGGGCCCGCACAAGCGGUGGAGCAUGUGGUUUAAUUCGAUGCAACGCGAAGAACCUUACCUGGUCUUGACAUCCACAGAACUUUCCAGAGAUGGAUUGGUGCCUUCGGGAACUGUGAGACAGGUGCUGCAUGGCUGUCGUCAGCUCGUGUUGUGAAAUGUUGGGUUAAGUC
rnacentral:rRNA from 1 species